UACGUAGGGUGCGAGCGUUAAUCGGAAUUACUGGGCGUAAAGCGUGCGCAGGCGGUUCGUUAAGUCAGAUGUGAAAGCCCCGGGCUCAACCUGGGAACUGCAUUUGAAACUGGCGGGCUUGAGUGUGGCAGAGGGGGGUGGAAUUCCGCGUGUAGCAGUGAAAUGCGUAGAGAUGCGGAGGAACACCGAUGGCGAAGGCGGCAUUCUGGACCAUUACUGACACUGAAUCGCGAAAGCUAGGGGAGCAAACGGG
rnacentral:rRNA from 1 species